GUUUUCCAACCUUUCAAACAGAUUCGCAGCUGAUAAGUCACAGUCGUAGUUCACAUAGAUAUCCACGACACUCUGUGCAUCCGCACAAAUACGAGUCAAAGCGUGAAUCACCAUCCAUUUGUGUUCGAAAGAACUGCUAGAAGUCUCGAGGAUAUUCAUAAAAAUCUCCUUGAAGAAAACCUCUAUCUGCAUCUUUAAGUGCACUUUGAAGCGAGCCAGCAGUGCAAGAAACAAUGCUAGAGAUAAUUCAAACACCUCGGGAACGGAAGAGACACCGUUUUUCGAGAGUGCUACACAGAGGAUACCCAGAAGCAAUUGUAAGGAAAGGAUCUUCGACCUGAGCUGGUGGGACCUAAAGAGAGUAUACCACAAAAAUUUCAUAAGAUGCCAAACCUUGAG
rnacentral:misc_RNA from 1 species